AGAGAGAGACAUGCGCGCAUAUCAAUAAGCGGAGGAAAAGAAACUAACAAGGAUUCCCUUAGUAACGGCGAGUGAAGCGGGAAGAGCUCAAAUUUGAAAUCUUCAAGGUUUUACCUUGACGAAUUGUAGUUUAAAGAAGUGUUUUCUGCUGAAGUUUUGGUAAAAGUUCUUUGGAAUAGGACAUCAUAGAGGGUGAGAAUCCCGUAUUUGACCAUUAUUUUCAGCUUUGUGAUACACUUUCAAAGAGUCGGAUUGUUUGGGAAUGCAGUCCAAAAUGGGUGGUAAAUUUCAUCUAAAGCUAAAUAUUGGCGAGAGACCGAUAGGCGAACAAGUACCGUGAGGGAAAGAUGAAAAGAACUUUGAAAAGAGAGUUAAACAGUACGUGAAAUUGUCAAAAGGGAAGCGUUUGACACCAGUGUUGUUUUCUCGAAAAUCAAUUAAAAAUGGCUCGAUUUUGUAUUGUUGAGACCUUAAAAGCUCACUGUACAUUUUUCGUGUCUUUUUUAAUGCACUUUUCGUUUAACAAGUCAACAUCAGUUUCUUUUGUUGUAAAAGGGUCAUUGGAAGGUGGCUUUCUUUUCGGAGAAAGUGUUUAUAGCCUUUGGCCUCUGCAAUCGGGAGAGACUGAGGUCUGCAGCGUAGACUCUUCGGGGUUAGAUACAUUUGUGCUAAGUUAUAGCUUUUUAUAGACAACUUGUUGACUAUAAUUAGUCUUGUAGCUUACUCGCUUAUGCUAUUUUACCUACGCUUAGGAUGUUGAAGAUGUAGCACAUCAU
rnacentral:rRNA from 1 species